AAGCUUCAAAAUAAUAUAUAGCAAAUGUAGGCAAGUUUUGACUUUUAAAAGUUAGAAUCAUUGAAAAAUGUACAUUGCAGAGCUGAACUUUGGCAAUAUUACAUUAAACAGUUCAAAAAUUUUCAAGGAUCUAUUUGACAUAUGUUUUCAAAAAAGCAUAUGUAGCUGUAACAUGGAAGAAAGCAUACAUUUUAAUGGAUGUUUUAAAAAUAAUAGAGUAUGACACCAGAUUUCUCCCCCACUAGGGUCCUUGAAAUUAAUGACUUUCCUAUUUUCAGUCAGUCUUCCAAGAUAUCUGUUUGUACAGAUAGAGACAGAUGUUAGCAUAUAGUAGAUGCUCAGUAAGUAUUUGUUGAUUGACUUGUGGAUUGUACCACAUGAAAUUGCUAAUACUAGAUCAGUUGAAAAUUGACUGCAAUUAGUAGAGUUGAAGUGAAGUAUGUUUCUGGUUGUGCUAUUUAGAAUUGUAACAGUGUUAUGCCCUUCACUCUUCAAUUUCUUUUGAUUAUUGAGUUUUUUCUUAUUGUUUUCCAGACAAAUAAAUAAUAUAGUAUCCUCAGAAGAAUUAUGGAUACUUCUUUUAAUAUGAUUUCAAGCCAGGACAAUACUGCAAAUGAGGUGUAAAUAUCAAGUUGGGCCUACAAGGCUCCGCUGGGGAAAGAACACCACUCAGUGGUGGUUUGAAAAAUCUUAUUCUGGGGAAUCUGGAUUCAAAAUGAGGCCUCAGGGGAGAUCAGAAUCCAUCUUAAAGACCAAUUAAGAGCCAGGGUGAGAGCUAACUCACAAACAACAAUUCAAGGCCUUGAAGCAGACAGGAGCUUCUGCUGUGACUGGGAAAAGUGAAAAGAUGAAUCCAAGAACAUCCUCCUGGGAGAUGAUCAAGAAUGAAGACAGUUGGAGGUGUACUCAUUAAGAUUCAAAAAAGCAGAAACAUAUUUUUAGAGUGGAUCAUGAACUGUGGACCAAAAAAAAAAAAAAAAAAAAGAUACUAUAUAUGACCAAUUGAUAGGCAAUUUAUCAAUAUUGGAUAUUUUUGAAGCUCCCAAACUUGCACCAUCAUCGUUGUGACCAAAAAUGUUCUGAAGGCCAUAGGUGAUCUGCAAAAGAAUAAUUACUAUUGCUUAAACCCUGGUGAAACGACAGCAGCACAUAUGCUGAGGAAGUAAAAUUAUGCAUGAAAAUUUUGAUCAAGAAAGGUACUUUGGUUAUAAACAUGAGCCCACACUUUACAUGACAGCACUUGACCUCACACGUCACAAGCCGGCGAAAGCAAAGUUAAUUCAAUUGGGAUAUUCAAUGUCGUCAUGUCCAUUGUAGUCACCAGACCUUUAUCCAAUGAACUACCUUCGUUUUCAUCAUUUGAAGCUUUUUUUUUAAGAAACAACAUGUUCUCCAAUUAAGAAGUAGUAAUUGGAGGAUCUGAACAAUUUAUAUAUCUGAAAAAAUGACAAAUUUUUUAAAAAUGAAAUAUUUAAUAUCUUAUUAGAAAGUUAUUAAUACUCAUACAUAUUUUGAUUGAAUAAAACUUAUUUUUUUAAAUACAGUGUUUUAAUUUUGACCUACAAAAACAGCAAUUUCAUAUGGUACAAAGUAGUAGAAGGUUUUCUCCAUUUACCUGUGACUAGUUAGAGACUCCCAUCUCUGCCUACUGGUAGGGAAAAAACCUCAAUAGUGUGGGUCACCAUGAAUUCUGCUAACUUUAAUCAUCCAAAUAAGUAUCAGGAGUCUUCAUCUAGUAUUCUUUCAAACUUGUUUGUCUUGAACAUAUUAAGAGUGCUAGUACUUAUUGUCCAUACUAUAGUAAUUGUAUUUAAUAGUAAAAAAAAAAAUAUGUAAGUAAUGGUUUUUCUAAGGGAGCUCUAAAGAAUUUUUGAGUUUCUUUCUUUUUUAUAGUGUAUAGAGUUCAUAUGCAUGAACAUUUGUGCUAUUUUAGAUUUUUUUUAAUUAAAAAGUUCAGUUAAGAGCAUCCAGGCUCCCAAAGUUCAUUUGUAAAUAGUGGUUUGGAACAUUAUAUAAGAUGAUUAGACUGUUAGGAAAGCUCAUAAAGGCUUAUUUAAACCAUAAUGUAGUUAAGCGAUAGUAUCAUGCUGAACACUGUUUUCUUUAGGGAACCAAUCAGUGUAGGAGGUAGAAAGAAACAGAGGUCUUCUUUUUCCUGAUGUGAUUCAGGUAAGUUUAGUUUCUUGGUGUUAGUGUUUCCUAGUUGCCCUUUUACAUCCUAAACCCUCCGGUGGAAUGCUAUAUAAGCCAGCUUGCCUCUUCCCUUACUGGAUGCCUGGUGCUCCAAAAUUCCAUAUUUUUCCUCCAAUCAAAAUUCCCAUUUCUUUCUGUGGUUAUGGCUGGCUAGAUUUUAAGGAAAAAAGUGCUUUCCACCGAGAUGCAAAUGAAGAUAGUGAAGAAAGUGGGAUUAACAUUUUUUUUUAAGACUGCUUAUUCAGAAUGAAGUUUUAUCUAAUAUCUAAGAUUUCAGACAAUAUGACCACAUUUCAAGUACUGUAGGAAGCAGUAUUUUUAUCAAAUUGAUGGAUGCUGUCUUGAGAGUACUUCCCAAUUCCUUUAGGUUUUUGGAUAUUUUCAUAGUUUCCUCAACUUUUGAACUCAGAGGUUUCUUCUCAUUUCCACAUUUUAGUAACUUCCCCUUUUCUGUAUUCUCUUUAUCCAGUAGAGCAGUAUAGAAGUCACAUCUGCAUUUUUCCAACUUUGGUACAGUAGUGGAAGUCUAGAGGUACUCCUGGAGUAAGGAGGCUAAGGCUGGCAUUAACAUCUCCUAAGACAUAUGGUCUAGGGGAAAUGAAAAAUGGCUGUCAAUAAGCCAGACACGAAUACGUCAGAGGCCUGCCUGUAUUUCAUUGAAAAUUUUAAUGAAAAACCCGAGAUAAGCUUCAUCUUUGUCAGUUUGUCAAAAUACAUUACUUGCAAUUAUAUUAAAACUUAUUCUAAAUACCUGUACUUUUCUUGUUCUGUAGAUGAUAUAGAUGAUGUUGCUUGUUAGUUAAAAUAUCUUUUAUAAAGAAAGUCCUGCUUCUUAUCAUGAGGUAUGUGACUUAAAUGACUGUUUCAUAUUAAACUAUUUCUUCCUUAUGUACUGUUUACAUAUACCUCUUUUUGGGAUAUUAGUUCAGUACUUUUAUACAAAUCUGAGUGUGUUCCACAUUGGUGACAUGUAUUUUUGCAGUAAUUUUUGUUUUGUUCUUAGAGCAUGUCUAAAGUAACACAUGCACUAUGCUGUGGUCUGUGGCAAAAUUACUGUAAUUCAAAUUGGAAAAUAAAUGUUUCCAGA